GAUGUACGCUAGCUACAGGCUUAACACAUGCAAGUCGAGGGACCGGCGCACGGGUGAGUAACACGUAUCCAACCUGCCCUUUACUCGGGGAUAGCCUUUCGAAAGAAAGAUUAAUACCCGAUGUAAAGGAUGGGGAUGCGUUCCAUUAGGUUGUUGGUGAGGUAACGGCUCACCAAGCCUUCGAUGGAUAGGGGUUCUGAGAGGAAUGUCCCCCCCAUUUGAACUGAGACAAGGUCCAAACCCCGAACGGAGGCAGCAGUGAGGGAUAUUGGGUAAUGGGCGGUAGCCCGAACCAGCCAAGUAGCGUGAAGGAUGAAGGCUUAUUGGUCGUAAACUUUUUUUAUAUAAGAAUAUGUAUUAUAUGAAUAAGGAUCGGCUAACUCCGUGCCAGCCGCCGCGGUAAUAC
rnacentral:rRNA from 1 species